GCCGGCAACCAGCAAGGCAUUCGACUGAGUUUUCAAACUUUGGGCCUGUGAGCGACUCGGACUCCAACUCCCAGAAGCCUCAGCCAGCUUUACCAACGCCCAGGAAUUGUGGGAGUUGAAGUCCAAAAGACCUGGAGGGCCCAAGUUGGCCCAGGCCUGCUAGAGAGGGACAGAAAGUGCGGGGAAACGUUCUUAACUACGGGUUGUUGUAGGUUUUUUCGGGCUAUAUGGCCAUGUUCUCCUGACGUUUCGCCUGCAUCUAUGGCAAGCAUCCUCAGAGGUAGUAAGAUGCUGUGGUCUGCCGACAAUGUACCAGCAUGAGGCCCUGGCUACCCUGCUAUCCCGAAGAUGGCUUUUGCGCUGCCGCCGCCAAUGAACAUCUCUGCAUGACAUUGAAAGUUUAUAAAGAUUUCAAACUGUGGCAAGUGGUCUAUAUGUGCACCAACGUAGAAGAUUCAAAAUGUGAUGACUGGCACUUUUAUGAAGAAUAUUGGAAAAUGUACGUAUACAGCUGUUGUUCUAAUAAAAAUUUCUGCAAUGAUAGUGACUAC